GCCCCGGUGGUCUAAGUGGUUAGAGCGUCUCCCUCGGAUGUGGAAUGUCGCGGGUUCGAACCCCAUUAACCUGAGGGCA